AGAGUUUGAUCCUGGCUCAGAUUGAACGCUGGCGGCAGGCCUAACACAUGCAAGUCGAGCGGAUGAAAGGAGCUUGCUCCUGGAUUCAGCGGCGGACGGGUGAGUAAUGCCUAGGAAUCUGCCUGGUAGUGGGGGACAACGUUUCGAAAGGAACGCUAAUACCGCAUACGUCCUACGGGAGAAAGCAGGGGACCUUCGGGCCUUGCGCUAUCAGAUGAGCCUAGGUCGGAUUAGCUAGUUGGUGAGGUAAUGGCUCACCAAGGCGACGAUCCGUAACUGGUCUGAGAGGAUGAUCAGUCACACUGGAACUGAGACACGGCCCAGACUCCUACGGGAGGCAGCAGUGGGGAAUUUUGGACAAUGGGCGAAAGCCUGAUCCAGCAAUGCCGCGUGCAGGAUGAAGGCCUUCGGGUUGUAAACUGCUUUUGUACGGAACGAAAAGUCUCGGGAUAAUACCCUGGGACCAUGACGGUACCGUAAGAAUAAGCACCGGCUAACUACGUGCCAGCAGCCGCGGUAAUACGUAGGGUGCAAGCGUUAAUCGGAAUUACUGGGCGUAAAGCGUGCGCAGGCGGUUAUAUAAGACAGAUGUGAAAUCCCCGGGCUCAACCUGGGAACUGCAUUUGUGACUGUAUAGCUAGAGUACGGUAGAGGGGGAUGGAAUUCCGCGUGUAGCAGUGAAAUGCGUAGAUAUGCGGAGGAACACCGAUGGCGAAGGCAAUCCCCUGGACCUGUACUGACGCUCAUGCACGAAAGCGUGGGGAGCAAACAGGAUUAGAUACCCUGGUAGUCC
rnacentral:rRNA from 1 species